rnacentral:RNase_P_RNA from 1 species
CCGGCGAAGGUGACUUUAGGGACAGUGCCACAGAAAUGUGUACCGCCACGUAAGUGGUAAGGGUGGAAAGGUGCGGUAAGAGCGCACCAGCGGUCGGGUGACCGGCCGGCUUCGGUAAACCCCACAUGGAGCAAGACCAAAUAGGGAAGGAUUUCCGGCGGCCCGUCGGCCUUCCGGGUAGCGUCGCUUGAGAUGCCUGGCAACAGGUGUCCCAGAUAAAUGAUUGUCACCGCCUUUUUGGGGGCGGAACAGAACUCGGCUUAUUGGUUUCUCGUAGCC